AUUUUUUCUGCCUUAAGAAGCACAGAUGUUUGAAGAAAUAUCCAAAUUAUUUGAGACAUAGCUGAAUUCCAACUCUGAAACUCCUGAAAUUUCACAGUGAUGAAAUGAAGCAAGAGGAGGAGGUGCCUGAGAAGCAAGAUGUUUUAGUUGAUCUCAGCUGUCAGUGCAGUGGGCCAGUGGGAGUGGAUUUGUACAGCAAAACAGUUGAUCCUCAAGACCUUACAUUCAUGAUAUGCAUAUUUCAGGAGGAUUUUCUUUGGAUUAGUUUUGUCUGGUCCUGUGGAGUUCAUGUUCAUCAGUGACUUAAGUGUCGUAAGGGCACUUGUGGAAAGUUUCUUCCAGAUAAGUUCUAUCUGAAAGGCAUUCACUUUGUGUUCUCUGAGACUGCUGAGCCAUAUGAACCAAAGCAGCUGAAGGUGAGCAAGUAUGAAGUAUGGCCUCUUGAACAUGUAAGAGAUGAGCUUGCCAGAGUUUUGAACAUGAUUGCAGAAGAUGUGUUUCGUGUGUGCUGUAGCCUGAGUUAAGGAAGGAAGCUGAAGGCAACGUCUGGGAAUUAAGAAUGUGAAAUUCUUUCCCUGUUGGCAGUUCAGUAGGGUUUUGGAAGUUUCAUCCAUAAAGCUGUGGUAUCAUGUGGAAGUGUUUCUUCAGAAGGAGGAAUAGUCUACUGACUUGAGAGUGAGAAAAGAAGAGCUGGUUGAACAGUACUUACCUAAUGUUGUUUCCAAGCAGCUGGAACCAGAAACUGGAAUCAAAAAACACACUGUCCACACCUGCUACACCGGGGACUGAAAUCUGUACAUCCAUACUGCUGCUGAGCACGCAGAUGAAGAGAACAGCACAGCCUAGCAUGAGAAAGACAAUCACUGUACUGGAUCUCAAGAGAUGGAAGUUUGAACGUGGUGGCAGUGUCCCAAUAGGCCCAGUGCAGCUGUUGGACUUUGACAAUAUCAAUAUUUUAUUGCAGUGAUCUUCCAUCUGGAGGAUGUUUCCUGGGACAGGGACCUUGAGGGACCGUGUUACCAGAAAGCUGCUGGAGGAGUUGGAGGGUGGAGGAAGCAGCUGGAAAAUAAUCCAGAUGAUGAAAAGGCAGGGCUGUGCCAAGAGCUGCUGAGGCAGAAGGAACACUACAACAGAGCUGCCAAGUGCGUUAACUGAGUAAGGCUUCUGCAAGCUGCAAGGCACGGAGUGGUGAAAUGUGAAUUCCUCAUUUAAGAAUAAGUUCAAGACACAGCUCUCAGUGAUGUGCACUGCCUUUUGGGAUAGGAAAAGGGUGAUCCUUCUGGAUUUCCUAGAACUCAGAGCAACACCACCAAGUCUGAUCGCUACGUUACGAUGCUCACUAAGCUGAAAAC
rnacentral:lncRNA from 1 species